rnacentral:sRNA from 1 species
CACCCUUGAAAUGCAGCAUGCCAAGAAGGCUGCAGAGAUAGCGAGUGAGAAAGACUAUAAAAGAGAUCUGGAGACUGAAAUUAAAGGGAAAGGGAUGCAGGUGAGCACAGACACUCUUGAUGUCCAGAGAGCUAAGAAAGCAUCCGAGAUGGCCAGCCAGAAACAAUACAAGAAGGACUUAGAAAAUGAAAUUAAAGGGAAAGGAAUGCAAGUGAGCAUGGAUAUCCCAGAUAUCCUUCGAGCCAAGAGGACAUCUGAAAUCUAUAGCCAGAGAAAGUAUAAAGAUGAAGCAGAGAAGAUGCUUUCUAACUAUUCUACCAUAGCAGAUACUCCUGAAAUGCAGAGAAUUAAGACAACUCAACAAAACAUUAGUGCAGUAUUUUAUAAGAAAGAAGUGGGAGCUGGCACUGCAGUGAAAGAUACCCCAGAGAUCGAACGAGUGAAGAAAAAUCAGCAGAAUAUUAGUUCAGUGAAAUACAAAGAAGAGAUUAAACAUGCAACAGCCAUUUCUGAUCCUCCAGAACUAAAGAGAGUUAAAGAAAACCAGAAGAACAUCAGCAAUCUCCAGUAUAAAGAGCAAAACUACAAGGCCACUCCGGUAAGCAUGACCCCGGAGAUAGAGAGAGUGAGGCGAAACCAGGAGCAGCUGAGUGCGGCAAGUCCUUUCUGUUUCCUUUUAUAUUUUCUCAAACAUAACAUAUUUUUAUUUAAAAAUAUGCCCUUUGGAAGGCCAUUAUCCUUAGCAAACUAACACAGGAACAUAAAACCAAAUACUGCAUAAUAAUGAGAGCUAAAUGAUGAGAACACAUGGACACAUAGAGGGGAAUAACAGACACCGGAGCCUGUUGGACGGGAGAGGAUGGGAGGAGGGAGAGGAUCCGGAAAAGUAACUGUUGAGUACUGGGCUUAAUGCCGGGGUGAUGAAGUCAUCUGUACAACAAACUCCCAUAACACAAGUUCACCUGUGUAACAAACCUGCACAUGUACCGCUGAACUUAAAAGUUUAAAAAAAAAAUGAAUUUGAGCAACAUGCAAUUAUAUGGAUGAAUCAUAUCAUUAUAACAUGAAAAAGUGAAUAUGUACAUGCAGCAUUAAUUCUUUUGUAAAAUUUAACAACUGCAAUAAUAAUGAUGAUGAUAAACGGAAUAUCUCCAGAUUUAAUAAAACUAUCUAAAAAUUUAAAAAGGAAAAGUUUUACACCCUCUGCAUUUUUGGAUGUUCCUUUUCACAUUUCCUUGUUGAAGGGCAUGAACUGCGUGUCCAGGAAAUUUGGGACUGUGUUGCUGUACCUUAGCUGUGUUUGCUUAUUCAAGAGAUCUUCAUUAAGUACCCAAAUGUACUGGGCAUUGUCCUGGUCACUCAGACACAAAGAUGGGUAAAAUAUAAGGGAGAACUUCAACGGGGAACUGCAAUUUCUGAUCCACCAGAGCUGAAGAGGGCAAAAGAAAACCAGAAAAACAUCAGCAAUGUUUAUUACAAAGGUCAGCUGGGAAGAGCUACCGCUUUAAGUGUAACUCCUGAAAUGGAAAGAGUGAAGAAGAAUCAAGAAAAUAUUAGCUCGGUAAAAUAUACCCAGGACCAUAAACAGAUGAAAGGUAGACCAAGUCUGAUUUCAGAUACACCUGCUAUGAGACAUGUUAAAGAAGCACAAAAUCAUAUUUCAAUGGUAAAAUACCAUGAAGAUUUUGAAAAAACAAAGGGGAGAGGCUUUACUCCCGUCGUGGACGAUCCUGUGACAGAGAGAGUGAGGAAGAACACCCAGGUGGUCAGCGAUGCUGCCUAUAAAGGGGUCCACCCUCACAUCGUGGAGAUGGACAGGAGACCUGGAAUCAUUGUUGACCUCAAAGUUUGGCGCACAGAUCCUGGCUCC